UACGUAGGGUGCAAGCGUUUGUCCGGAAUUAUUGGGCGUAAAGAGCUCGUAGGCGGUUUGUCGCGUCUGCUGUGAAAACGCGAGGCUCAACCUCGCGCCUGCAGUGGGUACGGGCAGACUAGAGUGUGGUAGGGGAGACUGGAAUUCCUGGUGUAGCGGUGAAAUGCGCAGAUAUCAGGAGGAACACCGAUGGCGAAGGCAGGUCUCUGGGCCACUACUGACGCUGAGAAGCGAAAGCAUGGGGAGCGAACAGG
rnacentral:rRNA from 1 species